rnacentral:rRNA from 1 species
UACGGAGGGAGCGAGCGUUGUCCGAAUUUACUGGGCGUAAAGAGCUCGUAGGCGGCUUGGCAAGUCGGGUGUGAAACCUCCAGGCUCAACCUGGAGACGCCACUCGAUACUGCUAUGGCUAGAGUCCGGUAGGGGACCACGGAAUUCCUGGUGUAGCGGUGAAAUGCGCAGAUAUCAGGAGGAACACCGGUGGCGAAGGCGGUGGUCUGGGCCGGCACUGACGCUGAGGAGCGAAAGCGUGGGUAGCGAACAGG